GGACUUUUAAAAAAUGUUCCCAGAUGGCUCUGAUCACUGUCAGGUUUGGGAGCUAGGGAUGGAAAUAAGUCAGUCUUAUGUAUUUCUCUUUUUUGGGGCUGCAGCUUUUGGCUGAUGCAGUUUGUAUAUCAGUUUCUCAAAAAUCCUCUUUUAUGUGCCCUGCACAGUUGUAUGUACACAGGGGAGGGCCUGGCAGGGAGCCUUAGCUAAAUGCUGUAUGUCAUAGAUCAUCUGGUUCUUGUGGGGUGUGUGUGUCAGAAUCACAUGGGAAACACCUUCAGAGGGUAGGGGCCUGGGCUCAGCGUGGGGAGUCUGAGGCAGCAGGUGCAGAGUGGGAGGAGCUGGGCACUGCACUUGUGCUUUGGCUGAGCUCCCGCUGACUCUGAGGGGAGCUUGGUGACAUUCUUCAUGGUCCACAGGACCUUGCUCAGAAAGAACUAUGUUCUCAUUUAGGAGAGCUUUGAGGCAGUUGGGAAGCAUUGUUGGUAAGGAUGUUGAGGCUUGAGAAUGUAAUGCUUUUUUCUUUACUAUGGCCCACACUCAGCAAAUAAUUGCCUCUGGGAUAAAUCCCCGACCCAUGCCCACCCCGAUCAGGGAAACAUAGUGGGGAGUUCAGAAACGGACUCUUCAGUAGGCGGUGCCUGAGUCUCCUCAGAUGACCUGGUGCAUUGGGCUAAGCUGCUAAAUGCAUAGCCUGAAGUGGAUUUGAGUUGGUUCCUCUGCAUGGUUUGAAGGCUCCCUCGCCACCUUUCAGCACUUCUGAUGAGUCCCUAUUUUUAUUGUAAAAGUAUGACAACAAUAUUAAGAUGAAAAAAUGACCUCUUUUAUGUUUUUAUUUUCUACAUGUCAUUCCAGUCUUUGGUUCUGUGAAUACACAUCUUUACAUGGUUAUAAUCACGGCCCCUCCAGUUAAUUGGCUUGCCCACAGUUUUACUGUGAAGUAGAGCUGAGAUUUGAAGUCGGCUGGGCCCUCUACAUACAUGUUUCCUUCCCUUUGUGGGAUUGAGUAGAAGGUGCAAUAUUUAGGUAUGACCACAGGGUGGUGCCAAAAAUCAACACAUAGCUGCCCCCACCUCCAUUGGACUGAAAACCAAACCAAAAACCUAAGCCUGUAAUCUGGGAAUUUGGAUGAGGAUAUAGGGAGAUGGCUCAGGAGUCUAGAAGACCUGGCAAGUAUGGUGUGGAUGGGGACAGAAUUUACUUCAUGGUCU
rnacentral:lncRNA from 10 species